rnacentral:rRNA from 1 species
CGAGCAACAGGGAUUGCCCUAGUAACGGCGAGUGAAGCGGCAACAGCUCAAAUUUGAAAUCUGGCUCUUUCAGAGUCCGAGUUGUAAUUUGCAGAGGGCGCUUUGGCUUUGGCAGCGGUCCAAGUUCCUUGGAACAGGACGUCACAGAGGGUGAGAAUCCCGUACGUGGUCGCUAGCUAUUGCCGUGUAAAGCCCCUUCGACGAGUCGAGUUGUUUGGGAAUGCAGCUCUAAAUGGGAGGUAAAUUUCUUCUAAAGCUAAAUAUUGGCCAGAGACCGAUAGCGCACAAGUAGAGUGAUCGAAAGAUGAAAAGCACUUUGGAAAGAGAGUCAAACAGCACGUGAAAUUGUUGAAAGGGAAGCGCUUGCAGCCAGACUUGCUUGCAGUUGCUCAUCCGGGCUUUUGCCCGGUGCACUCUUCUGCAGGCAGGCCAGCAUCAGUUUGGGCGGUGGGAUAAAGGUCUCUGUCAUGUACCUCUCUUCGGGGAGGCCUUAUAGGGGAGGCGACAUACCACCAGCCUAGACUGAGGUCCGCGCAUCUGCUAGGAUGCUGGCGUAAUGGCUGUAAGCGGCCCGUCUUGAAACACGGACCAAGGAGUCUAACAUCUAUGCGAGUGUUUGGGUGUCAAGCCCGAGCGCGUAAUGAAAGUGAACGGAGGUGGGAACCCGCAAGGGUGCACCAUCGACCGAUCCUGAAGUUUACGGAAGGAUUUGAGUAAGAGCAUGGCUGUUGGGACCCGAAAGAUGGUGAACUAUGCUUGAAUAGGGUGAAGCCAGAGGAAACUCUGGUGAGGCUCGCAGCGGGUUCUGACGUGCAAAUCGAUCGUCAAAUUUGGGCAUAGGGGCGAAAGACUAAUCGAACUAUCUAGUAGCUG